GAUGAACGCUGGUGGCGUGCCUAACACAUGCAAGUCGAGCGAUUCUCUUCGGAGAAGAGCGGCGGACGGGUGAGUAACGCGUGGGUAACCUGCCCUGUACACACGGAUAACAUACCGAAAGGUAUGCUAAUACGAGAUAACAUGCUUUUAUCGCAUGGUAGAAGUAUCAAAGCUUUUGCGGUACAGGAUGGACCCGCGUCUGAUUAGCUAGUUGGUGAGGUAACGGCUCACCAAGGCGACGAUCAGUAGCCGACCUGGGAGGGUGAUCGGCCACAUUGGAACUGAGACACGGUCCAAACUCCUACGGGAGGCAGCAGUGGGGAAUAUUGCACAAUGGGCGAAAGCCUGAUGCAGCAACGCCGCGUGAGCGAUGAAGGCCUUCGGGUCGUAAAGCUCUGUCCUCAAGGAAGAUAAUGACGGUACUUGAGGAGGAAGCCCCGGCUAACUACGUG
rnacentral:rRNA from 1 species